GUCUUCUGAGAGGUGGCGAAAACUCAGAGAUCUGAAGGGAUUGAAGACUGACGCAGAGAUGGCUUUUUUCUGCUGAACAGGUAAGACAUUUCAGUGGCUCAAUAGGUAGCUAGCGAACAUUAGCGCACUUGUUCACUUGAUUCAGCCGGGUAUCGAGUUUCCUAUGUUUUUGUUUGUUUUGUUUUGCUGUGGUCAGUGUGCUAAAUUCCACUUAUUUUCUGCUAGCUAUGCGGGACAGCAAUUCACCCCUACUCCAAGUAUUGGAGCUAAUAUACAACCCUUACGUAUACCUCAAACCAUCAGAUUCAUCCAUGCAGAGCAGCAGUGCUGAGGCAUAACCCACGUUUUAUUGUCUUUUGUCUGCAGUUUCCACACUAAAUAAACAGAAGCAGCAGCAGCAGCAGCAGCAGUAAACCACGCCCACAGACUUGUACAGACUGUAGGAAAUAUGAAAAUCUUUAUGAUCACGAAAAACAGCCAUUCCUGAAAACCUCUCAGGACGAUCAUGGGUGUCUAUGACAGCGCACAGAACCGUGCAAUAAAAAGUUGUGAAAUUUGGCACACUGAUUGGAGCCUAUCCCAGGGUGCAUUGGGCACAAGGCGGGGGACACCCUGGACUGGGCACCAGUCCAUCGCAGGUCACAAUCACACAUACAUUCACACACCCAUUCAUACACUACAGAUACUAUUUGGACAUGCCAAUCAGCCUACAAUGCAUGUCUUUGGACUCUAGGAAACCCCUGAAGCAUGGGGUGAACUCAGCAGGAAUCGAACCCUCAACCCUGGAGGUGUGAGGCAAACGUGCUAUAU